UGCCAGCAGCCGCGGUAAUACGGAGGGGGCUAGCGUUGUUCAGAAUUACUGGGCGUAAAGGGCGCGUAGGCGGCGCGAACAGUCAGGCGUGAAAGCCCCGGGCUUAACCUGGGAACUGCGCUUGAUACUGUCGCGCUAGAGAUCGGGAGAGGGUAGUGGAAUUCCCAGUGUAGAGGUGAAAUUCGUAGAUAUUGGGAAGAACACCAGUGGCGAAGGCGACUUUCUGGCUCGUAACUGACGCUGAGGCACGAAAGCGUGGGGAGCAAACAGGAUUAGAUA
rnacentral:rRNA from 1 species